UUGUCCCUCUGUCCCAUGGGUCCGUUUUUGUCAGGUCGGUUCAUUCUUAUCGAUGACAAAUAAGAUAAGUUUCUCCACGGGGUAAUCUUCUCGAACCAUAGGUCGACGAAUUCAAUCCAUGUCUUGCGUCGUCGUCGUUCUCUCUCCUCCGUCUCGCCAUACCUCCCACGCGGAUUUGCGUGAUCUCCUGGCAUGGUACUGCCUCUGGGCGGUUUCCCGCGGCAGGGAGGCGCGACACCUCGCGCUGCCCAUGUUCCUCUCUCGCUCUCACCAUAACGUCACCGGCCCCCUCUCCCCUCCUUCCACCCAGCGGCUGCUCUUCUCCUCCUCAUGGCUGCCUCACCUGCGUUGCCUCACCUCUCGCGGUGCCUCCUUGGCUCAUCCGCUGGGCGACCUCCAUAACCCUCUCGACCCUCCUUCCCUGCCCCCUUGGCGUGCAUGAUGGACACGACUGCUAGCGGAAGGCUGCUCAGCCUGCAUAUGGCGCCCCCAAUCGUCCACGUGCUUCCCCUAGCGGACCACAUCAGCCAGCGUCACGUAGAGGACUGGAGGAAAGGUCAUACUGGUUUUGAGUUCUCUCCUGUGAAAUGUCUUAGUUGGAUCAAGAUGGUUUUAGACUUUUAGGAGGAAUUCAUAGGUAGGUUUAUGUUUUGGAUGUAAAGGUACAUGUAUAUGCUAUAUGAUUGUAGUGAGCUUGCUGUUUUGUUUGGGAGUUGAUUGGUUCACUCUUUUCCUUUCAUGCAUGUGAUUCCUAUGUUAUAGGCUUGGGUGCUCUGUUUUUUAGAUGGUUAGAUGAAGGGGUUCCCUCUCCUGGCGUUGUUUGGAUGAGAAAGAGAUCUUUAUUUGCAUUAUCAGGAGUCAUUGAGCAAGAUGAUUCACAAGAACGUAUACUUUGGGCUGUCUGUAACAAGAAACCAAGAAGAAAAGGCUGAAGCUAGAUGUUCCUGUUUGAGUUAUUUGCAAUAUAUGUAGACAACAGUUUCCAUCAGGAACGGAUAUUUUUGUAAUGAGAUCACUGGGUUACCCCUUUAUCAUGUUUUGCAUUAUGUACUGACAAAAUAUUCUUA